UACGGAGGAUGCGAGCGUUAUCCGGAUUUAUUGGGUUUAAAGGGUGCGCAGGCGGAUUUUUAAGUCAGCGGUCAAAUCGUGGGGCUCAACCCCAUCCAGCCGUUGAAACUGGGGAUCUAGAGUGUGCGAGAGGUAAGCGGAAUGCGUGGUGUAGCGGUGAAAUGCAUAGAUAUCACGCAGAACCCCGAUUGCGAAGGCAGCAUACCGGUGCACAGCUGACGCUCAGGCACGAAAGCGUGGGUAUCGAACAGG
rnacentral:rRNA from 1 species